UGUUGUUGUUGUUGGAUAAGACAGAGAGAAACGGAGAGAGGAGGGGGCGGAGAGAGGGAGAGAAAGACAGACACCUGCAGAUCCAUUUCACCGCCUGUGAAGCGACCCCCCUGCAGAUGGGAACCCUGGGGCUCGAACCGGGAUCCUUCCGCCGGUCCCGCUGCACUACUGCCCAACUCCCACAUAAAAUCUUUUUUACAUAAAAUAUUUUAAUAAAAAAAUAAAAUCCAUUUAAAAUAAUAAUAGAAACAGAGUGUCCCACAGGCACAGCGACGGUGGGGCUUGAACCCAGGGCCUCAGGCUUGAGAGCCCAGCGCUCACUUGCAGACCAGGAACAGCAGGGCCAGGGCCCCCAGGACUAUGAUGGCCCACCCCCAGGCGGGUAAUCCAUGGUCGCCCUCUGAGCUCUCCUUCAGCCUGGCAAGAGAGAACAGUGGCGGCCUCAGGAGUCCAGCCGGCGCCCCCAGGACCCCCUCCCCACCGGGCAGAGCCCCCACUCCCUCUGGUGCCCCCCCAAGGUAAAGGCCCCGACUCCAACCAGCUGAGCACAGGGCAACCCAGGCCUUGGGGUGACGGGGGCGGGGUGCACAGGGCAGGGUGGGGGUAGAGGUGGGGAGGGGCACGCAGGGCAGGGAGGAGGGU